UACCAGCUCUCCGAGUGGUGUGGAUGUUUAUUGGGCCUAAAGCAUCCGUAGCUGGCUGGGCAAGUCCCCUGUUAAAUCCACCGAUUUAAUCGUUGGUGUGCGGGGGAUACUGUUCGGCUAGGGGACGGGAGAGGCCGACGGUAUUUUCGGGGUAGGGGUGAAAUCCUAUAAUCCCGGGAAGACCACCAGUGGCGAAGGCUGUCGGCUAGAACGCGCCCGACGGUGAGGGAUGAAAGCUGGGGGAGCGAACCGGAUUAGAUACCCGGGUAGUCCCAGCUGUAAACGAUGCAGGCUAGGUGUUUGGGCGGCCACGUGCCGCUCUAGUGCCGCAGGGAAGUCGUUAAGCCUGCCGCCUGGGGAGUACGGCCGCAAGGCUGAAACUUAAGGAAUUGGCGGGGAGCACCACAAGGGGUGAAGCUUGCGGUUU
rnacentral:rRNA from 1 species